CUAAUUGACAAAUAUACUUUUGGUUUCCAAUUUAAAUUAAUGUAAUGUGCUUAAAACAUUUUUUAUACAUUACAAGUUCUUAAAUUAUAAUUAUAUGUUUAACUUAAAUUCAAGGUUGCUUAAAGAGCUAUUAACAGCCAUUCAAUUUUUUUUAAAGGGAAAAAGUGAUGCUUUGGAAUCCAGGUAAAUUUGUUAUAGAGGAUUUGUGAUGAGUAAAGAAAAAAAUAUUGAAAAGACUAUGGAUAGAAGAGAUGUACUUUUGUUAUGAGGGGAUUUUUAUAUGAUAAAUGUUUUGUGUGUUGAACAGAUAGAACUAGGGAUGAUGACAGGGCUAAAAAGCUUACAUGUGUCAAGAGAGAGCAUACAGGGGUGGUUUGUCAGGGAGAAUGUGUAUGUUUGAAUGCUGGUUUGGAGGAAGCCAAUACUGUUCCUUACAGGAGCUUCUUGUUGCUCAAAAAUAUAGGUGGUUGCUUGUUGAUUUGAUGGAGUUCAGAUUAUUCCUAGAACAGGGGUACUUGAGAGGGUGACUUGCUUCACAUACAUAUGCACACACACACACACACACACACACACACACAAGAAAAACAGAAAGGGAGAGUACAGAUGCCCUCACAAGCUUACUUAGACCUUGCUAUUUUUACUGAGAACUUCCUUCAUAAUAAAUAAUGUGGUAAGAGGUUACACUAGUGUUUUAACAGAUAAUGGAGAGAUACUGUGGUUGCCAUUCAGGAAUGUGCUUGGAUUGCCCUUCAUCCCAGGUAAAGUAUGAACAGGCAAAACUUUGACCUCAAUGCAGGAAAAAAGGAUCCUACGUUUAAAAUUAUACAAAAAUGUUCAAACUGGUAUUUGUAACUAUAAUUCUUAUGUUUUUCUUUAUGACACAGUAACCUGAAGAGAAAACUCCUUUGAUUGUCACACUUGUGUACUAAUUCACUGUGUAAAAACCAGAGAAGUUUCUGUUCAGAAACUUAGGUAUGGGCGGAAUGCCUGGAGUUUGGAUACUGGUUAAUCUGAGAGACAGACUUACUCCUCUACAUCUUAUUUGUUACAUACCUUAAUUAAUCAUAUGGUCCAUAUGACUAAAAGGAUGCUAGGUCUUAUUAUUGCAGGAACAGUCUCACUAGGACUAUUAAUAUCUAGUGUUGUGGUAUCCUCAGUGGCUUUCACCCGCUCUGUUCAAACUGCUCAUUCAACAGAUAAUUGGACAAAAACAGCAGAUGAUACAUGAAAAAUCCAACGAAAUAUAGACACUAAACUUCAAACCCAACUUAGUGUCCUUGAAACAACAAUGUACUGAUGGGAGACCAAAUUGAAAGCUUGCAGUUACAACAGGGCCUUAGGUGCCACUACAAGGUCAUUUGCUUUUGCACAAUGCUCUUGCCAUAUAAUAAAUCUAUGCAUUCCUGGGAAAAUAUAAAUAAACAUAUUUGAGGGGCAAUCCAUGGAAAUGUCACCACUGAUAUUGAGGUUCUCCAAAAAGAAGUUUUUUCUAUGUCGCAACAAACUCAGGACUUUGAUGAGCAAAUUCAAGAUUGGAAUAAAUUUUCUAAUCCUCUAAACCAAUUAAUUCCCUUUAAUUAUCUUAAAGCACACUUUUGGUUUUAUAUUAGGAUGUUUGAAAUCAUCAGUUUUUCUUUUGCUUUUAUUCACAGUAUGCCAUAGAGGAACUAGGACCAAUUGCUGUCUAAAUGCAAUGCAGCCAUGACUCACCCUAAUUCAGCUUCUGGAACUUCAAAAACAGGAAGGAGGAACUGCUGGAGAACACCUUGAAACCUCACUGACCAAGCUAUAAAAUAUGAUUGAAUUGGCUUAUGAAUUGGCUACUGAUUAAAUUAUGAAUCUGUCCCAGGCCUACAUGACUUGCUAAGAUAAAUCUUUGGCUGGCAUGCAGAAACAGAGCUCCCUAUGCUAACAGUCACAGUUUAGGUCUCAUGAUCAAUGAUACUGUGACAUCUCUGAGAGCCAGAUAACACCACACCUGAUGACUUUAUCACUCUGAAGCACCCAUUCUCCUAGAACAAAAGUUAGCUAAAGAAAACUAAUGGGUACUCAUUAAUUACAACCUGUCUUUCACAGUAAUGCAUCAAUCCCCCCUUUUACAAGCCUGGUUCAUGUCAGUGCAUUAGCACCACUGUUCCCUGCAUCUGCCUUUACACCCCCUACAGUGUUGUAUAAUCAAUAAAUAGUGGCUGGUCUAGAGCCUUGGGAGAGCUUGGAUCAUCCUGGCACCCUAUUUAUGUAUUGUCUUUCUCUGAUCUUAUUCUUUAUCCUCCCUGUACCCUCAGGCAGGUGGAUGAGCAGCUCCCAUACAGCUCAAAUUCCCCUGUAACUGUCAAGUGGAGCACACCAAAUGAAGUAGCUGAUGUGCCUCCAUUGCAAGCCAUGCUAGACUAGAUUCAUCCUGAGUAGAAUAUUCACCUGCUCAAUAUGCUGUCCCCAAGUUCAUGGUCCAUCUUCUGCUUAAAGGAUUCCUUUUCAUAUGGAUAGCCCCAUGUAACUGCUACAAAAUCAAGCUAUGGUCAGAGAACUCUUAGCAAGUUUGCUGUCUGAGCUUUUCCUUUUGAAUCUAAUAGAUGCCAGUAAAAAUUAUGAGGAUAAUUUUAACUAAAAUACUGAACAGGGGAGGCUCACAGGACAUCCCAAGAAGGUAGACAUUUUUAAAGAUUUUUAAGAGCAAGGUGAUUAAAAAAACAAUAAGGUGGGCCUGGGAUUUAGCGCAGUGGUUCCAGCGUCUGCCUCACAAGUGCAAGGUCCCGAUUUCGAUCCCCAGUACCAAAAGGAAAAAAAGAGAAAGCAUUCCAGGGAGAGGGAAUGAGGGGUGCAAAAAAAGAAUAAGGUGUUUAAAGAAAUUGUUACAGAAUAACUAUAGAGGCCAAUGUCUGAAAUAAAAGGUUUUUUAUGCCAUUCUUUCCAAGAUUUAGCCAAAAAAUGAAAGGGCCAGAUUCUAGGCAAUUCAAUAAUUGCUAUUACUGUGUAAAAGCAUUGAUCUGCUCACUACCAAAUACGAGAAAAAUCAUCAAGAGAGGAUGAUUGUAGAGAAAGAACUGUACUACGACACACUUGCUCAUCGGAAGAUAACAGCCUAAAGGACCAUUUUUACUAAAAUCACAGGCAAAGUGCUUAUGUAAGAAAUUUAAGUAAUCAUUAAUUCCACAGUGGUCAAUUUCUUUGAUGCACAUUCUAGUGUUAUCUGAAGGCCACCAGGUUUUCUAGCUUCUGUAAGCAUGAAGAUUAUUGAUUAGGUGGAUUUACAGCCAAUAUUCCUCUUUUCUUUUGUCUUGGAAUAGCUUACUAUAGAAAUUAGUAUCUGAGUUAUUUACAUGUGGCUUUCCUUUGGCAUUUAGAAUACAAGGUAAAGGUAAGGGAACCCUAAAGCAAGUUUUAAAAAGAAAUGUGCAGAGGACAAGUGAACUGGUCCAGCUGCUUCAUUACCCACACCAAGAUCAGGUAGUAGUUGGAAAAUGCAGGAGGAGAACUAAGAGCAUUUUUGUAAACUUUGGGAAAGGAAAGCUGUGUAUAAUAUAUUGAUGAUAAAUAACAAAACAGUACUCAGAAGCAGGGAAAGAUUGGGAACAGGAGGAAAAUUUAUAAGUGUACUUUAUUUCCUUUUUUUCCUUCUUUAAUUAAUUUUAGUGCUACAUUUAAGGUAUUCAAUACAUUCAUCACUGAAAAUUCGCACCUUUACAUAAUCUCUCCUGGUUCUUAUUUUUUGCACAUUCCCCUCCAUCCCUCCCUAUUUACAAAGAUUUGUUUCCAUUUUUUCCUCUUCUCAUAUUAAUUCCAUUCCUUCUUUCCUUUCCCCUACCCCACUUGGCCUUUACCCCUUUUCUUCCUAUUUCACCUUAUCUAUUAUACCUUUUAGUUCUUAUUUACACUUUUGGUUUCUCACACUAGAGAAACUAUUCAGUACUUACACAUGUGUGUCCUAUUUACUUCACUUAAGUUUAUCACCUCAAUGUGCAUCCAUUUAGCUCUAAAUGUCUCUAAUAUCUCAUUUUUUAUGGCUGAGAAAUACAACACUUUAUAAAAAAAACAAAUUUUUUAUCGAGUCUGCGCUUGAUGGGCAAUUGGGCUGUUUCCAAGCUUUAGCUAUCACAAACUGUGCUGCUAUGAACACGGGCACACAUAUAUCACUGUGGUAUGAUUUUUUAAUUCAUUGGGAAAGAUCCCCAGCAGGGGAAUAGCUGGGUCAAAUGGGACUUCCAGUCCUAGUUCUCUGAGGUAUCUCCAUACUGAUUUCCACAGUGGUCGCACCAGUCUACACUCCCACCAGCAGUGGAGCAGGUUUCCUCUUUCCCCACAGCCCCACUAGCAUUUGUUAUUGGUUGAUUUCAUGAUAGCAGUCAUUCUUUCUGGAGCGAGGUGGAAUCUCAGCGUUGUUUUCAUUUGCAUCUCUCGAAUGACCAGUAAUGUUGAAAGUUUUUUUAUAUGUUUAUUUGCUAUUUCUACUUCUUAGUCUGAGAAAUGUCUGUUCAUCUCAGAUGCCCAUUUUUGGAUGGGGCCUUUAAAUUUGGGAGGUCUGAUUUUUAAAAAUUCUUUAUAGAUUCUAGAUAGUGGACUUUUAUCUGAGGUGAAGAUUUUUUCCCACAUUGUGUGUUGUCUCUUCACACUGUUGGUGGUUUCUCUUGCUGUGCAGAAGCUUUUUAGUAAGAAAGAUCCCACUUGUUGAUUGUUUGUGCUAGUUCACAGGCAACUGAGGUUCUGUUCAUAAAAUCUUUUACUACACAUCAAUGUCAUCAAGAGUUCUACCUAACCUCUGUUUCAGCUGGUUCAGCGUUUCUGUUUUAGUAUUUAACACAGUUUGAUUUUAGUCAAGCGCAUGGUGAGAGAUAUAGGUCUAGUUUUAAUCUUUGCAAGUUGGAACCCAAUUUUUCCAGCACCAUUUACUAAAGAGGCUAUCUUUCCUCCAGUGAGGGUGUUUGGCUCCUUUGUCAAAGAUGAGGUGGCUGAGUGUUUCUGGAGUUGUUUCUGCAUCUUCUAAUCUGUUCCACUGGUCUUCAGGUCUGUUUCUUUACCAAUGCCAUUCUGUUUUUGUCACAAUAGCAGUGUAGUAUACUUUCAAGUAGGGGGUUGUGAUACCCCCUGCCAUGUCUCUGUUGCCUAGAGUUGAUUUUGCUUUCCAGCUCUCUCCUUGUUCCAAAUGAAUUUUUGGAUUGUUUUCUCAAGGUCAGUGAAGUAUGCUGCUAUAAUUUCAAUUGGGAUUGCAUUGAAUCUAUAUAGCAAUUUUGGAAGUAUGGCCAUUUUCACUAUGUUGAUUCUUCCUACCCAGGAGCAAGGAAUGUUUUUCCAUUGUGAACAAAAUAUUGAAAACCUUCUGUAUAUUUCUCAAUGUCACUAGAAAAACUAGCCAAACGUUAUUGGUUUGACUUAGGUCAUGCAUAGAGAAAUGUUGUUGAGCUCUAACUGGUCAAAAUUCACCCAGUAUCUCCAGAAGAGGGCACACAUGUACCAGCUGAACCAUAGCACAUGUUGCUGAGGACUUUGUAUAAGAAGGAGCAGGCUUCUCUUUGUUUGAGUUUGGAGCAUUAAUGUUAGCCUCCCAGUUAGCAGGUGCCUCGAGAGAUGAAAACACACAAACAAAGGGGUACCAUUUUACUCAUGCAUGCCAUCACACCUGGAUCUAAUUUACACUGAGCACAUUAGAAUGAUCCCACAAAACAAAGAAAGCUUGCACACAAGCUAUCUCUAACUACUUUUAUGCCUUUUUUUCAUAAGAUAUCUAACUGGAGUAUAGUCAUAGGGCACAUCUGAGAGGUAAAUCAAUAGGAUAGAUUGACAAGGAAAAGAACACAUAGCUCAGAAGGGGUAUCCCACAUCUGAGAAAGAAAAUAAACUAGUAGAUGUUACAAAAAGGCGUCCCUCAAAGCCCAUAUAUGGGCUAAGGAUGGGGUGUAACACUUCUUAUCUGAGUCCUUGAUCUGAAUGGUCAGUUAGACCUGUGCAUUCUUUUCAUAACUAACAGCUAACUUAGAAUGACUCUCAUCAAUACAGUGAAAAAGGUGAGAAGGACAUACCAUACAUAAUGUGUUUUUAAUUAUUAAAAUUUGUACUGGUACAGGCUUAUAGUACAUAAAUGAUUACAUUUAUUAGGGGGAGUUGUCAAGACUGAGCCUCCUGAGGGGCACCUGAAGAGGAAUGUGCACAUUAGUCCAUCAUGGAUGAGUUAAUUCCCCAAUAAAAAACAAGAUGUGGAGCCAGCCAUCAGCAAAAGAGCAGCAUCAGACCAGGAGAGCUAGAGCCAGAGCUCUAAAGCUUAAGAGCUGCUUGUCUUUAUUCCUUCAGCAAAAACAGCUAGAAAGCUCUUUAUUUCACAGCAGUUAUAGUGCCUUAUCACAUAUUGAAGAAUGCUGACAAACACCAGCUGUGUGACCUUGAUCAUACUGAACAUGCAUGGAUCAGUAUGUUAUCACUCUUAUGUAACUGUGACUCAUUGUGUGCAUGUCUCUAACAGUGGGCUUCUGACCUUAAGUGUCCUCAGGUAUAUCUACAUUUCCCAGGAUUUGAGUCUAUUAACCAGUCUUUGAGUAUAAUCAGAAGUGGUACCCCACAGGAGUUGGUACAUAUAUGUUGGUAACAACUUGGCCCCAGGUAGGAAACAUUGUCUUUUCUUCCCCUUCUCUCUAUUUGCAGCAUUGUCUUCCCCUGAAUACCCACAGCUUUUCUUAAGCAUGAUUACAUUUAGGAGGUCAGCAAGAUGUACACUCUCUAUUUUUCUACUGGAUAGCCUUACGCCUUAGGUCUCAUACAGAAAAUAGAACCGUCAGACCAUUAAAAAGUGAUUAGUGCAGCUGCUGCUCCAAAGCCUCUGGGGACAUGUUUCACUGGAACAGUCUGGCCUGAUCCCCCUCUCUCACAUGUGGGAGAGAUUGUUGAGUCUGUUCUGUCCCAGUUUCCAUUCAGAUUUGAUCCUCCACUGGUGAGAGAGAAAUUUUAGCUCUUGAUGCUCUUGGUCUUCCAAAACUAUGGUUCUUGGGAAGAUUGUUCUCUUAAUUCACUGCAAGCAUUGAUGAGAACAAAUCUCUUUCACUACUAUGGCCUUCAAACACUGACUUUCUCCUGUUGAUCCCUCUUUUUUCUCUCAUGGGGGGGUGGGCUUUUCACUGAAGACCCAUGACUAAUCCUGAGAAAGCAUGUUAGCCCUCAACUGUUUUUCUGUCCUUGUUGAUGUCUGGAAGAUAGAGCUGAGCUUAGCCCUGUGGAUAAAGUUCCUGUGCCAUGCAUAGGUAAGUGCAUUUGAUCAGGCCUCUCAUCCCAAAGGAAGAAACACUCUCCUAUCUUUGGGUGACUUUGGUGUCACUUCUUCCACUGCCCUUUUCCCUGAGGAAAUAACCCCUGGAAAGGUAUUUAUUAGACAUCUGGUAUUCUUAGUAGAAAUAUGGAGAACUAUUAGUCUUUUGAGAUGGGGUCAUUGUCCAAGGAUGUAUAACACAGAUAAUUCCAUUAUAGAACAGAAAACAAUUUUAGGUACCCUUAGGAGUUUGAUGAUAAAUUUGGACAAAAAUAGCUAUUAAUGAAGCUAAUAGUCAUAGCCCCCUCAUCUCCAGGAGACUGUCCCCCUCUUAUCAUAAUUUAUCUCCAGAAUAUAUCAACAGGAGAGCAACCGAGCUCCAAUGAUAUAUUUAGAAAGACAAUAACUGGUGGUGGGAAAGGAGAAAUCAAUGGCUGGUAUGGACCAAUUGAUCAUAGGAUCACAAGGGAAGGGGGUACAAAUAUGGUAAAGGUAGACAGUCUGGCCUAUCCAUUUCCUUGGGCAACUCCAGCUCACAGCCAUCUUCUCUGCAGGGACACAGGCUGAGGGACACUUCAGCCAUAUGGACAGGAUAGGUGGGUUGAUAAGAAUGCCCUCUCUCCCCUUGUUUUUGCAGAAUGGGAAACUAUGUCAACCUCAGCUUCUCACCUGUGCUUGGAAUUUGUACUUAGAAACUGGGACUCUUUUAAGCCCCAGACUCUAAAGAAACACCUCCUAAACUUUUUCUACACCAAUGUAUGGCCUGGGUAGAGAUAGUUGCAGGAAGAAAGUAUAAAGUAUAAACAUCCUUCAAUUAGACCUGUUCUGUAAGAGAAGGAAAAUGGUCACAAGUCCUAUGUCCAGACUUUUUGCUUUCAGAGAAAAUCCCAAACUGUGUCAAUAAGGCAGACUGGACCCCAUGUUACUUGUGACUUCACAGGUGCCUCAUGGGACUCAGGCAGCCCCAUCUGAUCCUUCUUGUCCCCCCUAUGCACAACCCCCAGUGGUGCUCAGAUCAAAAGAAACUUCCAAAUGAGCAGUUAUACCUUCUUCAGGAGGUGGCCAGGGAAGAAUGUGGCACCAUCUGAGUCCAUGUGCUACUUUCCUAGGCAGAUCUAAAACAGAUCAAACAGGACUUAGGAAAGUUCUCUGAUGAUUCUGAUAAGUACAUAGAGACACUUCAAGGUUUAACUCAGUUUUCUUAUUUAGCUUCAGAAAAUAUUAUGCUCUUUAAAAAUCAGACACUAUCCCCUAAUGCAAAACAAGCUGCCUUGCAGGUGGCAGAGGUCUUUGGAUAUGAAUUACUUAUGAUUCAUUAUAAGAAGCCGAAGGAUCUAAGGGACGGGGAGGAAACAUACCCCACAGGGAAAUAGGGAGUCACAGGAGAAGAUUCCUGCUGGGAUUCAGAUGAUAAUGGGGUGAAUGGAUACAUAAAUAUUUCCAGGCCUACAUUCGUGAGGGAUUGGAGAGGACAUGCUCUAAGCUCCUCAGUUAUUACAAAUUAUCAACUACUGAUCAGACCAGUGAAGAAAAUCCCUCAGCCUUUGUUUUAGAAAGACUCUAAGAGGCUUUAACUAAAUAUAACUCUCUGUCCCCAGAUACCUUAAAGUAACAAAUAACCCUCAAAGAUAUGUUUAUAACCCAAUCUGCCCCAGAUGUAAGUUGGAAGUUACAAAAAACAUUGAUCCUGAUAGCUCCUUAGACAUCCUGGCCAAGACAGCCAUCGAGGUCUCCUACAACUGAGACUGAGAGGAGGACAAAGAGAAAGAGAAAUGAGAUCAGAACAAAGCAGCUGUCCCAACAGCUGCACCCAGGAGCGUCACCUAGAUGCCCAGGGCUCCAAAGAAAGUUCAUCUGCCAGCUAUAUUCAUGGAAAGCCAGGGAAUUUCCAUAGAGACUGGAAUAAAGGUCAUUGCCAAAAGGACAAGAAGACAUUCAAGCCCUGCCCAGUAUACAGUGGGGACCAACAAAAGUCAUAUUGCCCCCGGAGGUGAAGGUCUCCAGGCUCAUACCCAUACUUUUAGUUGGUCCAACAAGACUGAAGGGCCCCAGAGCACUCAUUACAGAAACCUUAAAUCAAAUUGUCAUCUCUGCCCAGAGAGUCCUCAAUGAUACCAUACAGGACAUCUCUUUUAAACACCAAGGUAAAAUUAAUGUGACCGGCAGUGGUCCAAAAUAGGAUGACCUUAAAUAUUCUAACUACAGAUCAGGGAGGAAUCUAUGCAAUCAUUAAAACAGAAUAUUGUGUAUAUAUCACAGAUAAUUCAGACAAUGUGUUUUCAGCUUUUCAGAACCUUUGCCCACAGGUCUGGGCCAUGUCUGAUCCUACCCCCUAGCCAACUCCUAUUUUGGAGGUGGAUUUCUGUUUCCUCUUGGUGGGAACAAUUAAUAACUGUUAGGAUCACCAUUCUUUUAAUUCUAUUGUUUGGGCCAUGUAUUUUUAACUGCAUGUUUCAAUUUACAUCUUCCAGACAAGUGUGUCAAACUUUAAAAACUCUAAAUGGUCGUGAAAAUGCAACUACUCAACUUCUAUCGUGUACCCUUAGAUCAACCCUCUAACCCAUGAAGAAAAUCCAUGACCCCUGCCUACAUACCAACCCCCUCAGCAGGAAAAAAUCAGAUCACUUGUUACCCACCUUCCCUAACAGCAGCAGUUAGGGCUAUUUCUUUAGAGGGGAGAAUGUAUGAGGUAGUUUACCUAUUUAUCUUAUAAGUAGGAAACUAAUAAGGGACAAGGCCUAAGAUGAAGUUGGUGAGGUCAGCCUUUUGAAGAAAACAGCAUGUACACGGGGUUAAGAUUUAACUCAACCCCUGUAGAUCACUAAGCUCAGAAAUGUAACAGCAAACACAGAGAAAGUGAUAAGAGUUAGGAUAAGACUAGACUGUUAGGACUCUAGAAUCCCAGAAAGAAAUUUUUUAGGUGGACUGGAAUGCACCAAGCAAAAAAUCCCUCUUUACAUCUGGACUAAGUCUUGAGGCAUUUAAAGAUGCUGGGUGACUGGUUUUCAUUUGAACUUUUCAUUAGAAAGCCUGAGUCCUAAUUGAUUAUUUUAAAUCUCAAAACUACCUAUGAUAGGUGACCACCAGUCAGUGAGCAGAUUCUUGAACUCUGUUCGUCCACAAAAGACCCCACAAGGAACCCACUAUGGCUUCAGGACUCCACUCAAUUGUCAGGAGCUUUCUUUUAUCUUAUACUUCCAAUAAACACUCCCCAUACUCCUUUGUCUGUGUCUUCAUCCUUUGACUUCAUGAGACACCAACCAGGUUUGGAUAGUAACAGCACCAGGAAAGUAGGGUUGUUCCUGUGACUAUGUAGCCAUAUGGUUCAGAGGCCUUUGGAACUGAUUUGCAGGAGGAGUUUGGAAAAGUCUGGAGCUGCCAGAUGGAGAACCAGCUGUUAGCCAAGCUUGAUGGGAAAUUCUAGUGAAAGAUCAGAACGACAGAAUGCAGAUGAAAAGGUAGAAUGUAAAGACCAGGUUCAGGAGGUUUUAGUCGGGAACAAGGACCCCACUGGCAAUUGGACUCCAGGCCAUGUGUGUUAUGCUCUGGUCAAAAAAAAAGUGUACAUUUUGCUCAUGUUGUGAGACUUUGAAGGAGACUGAGAUUAAGGGAAGCAGACUAAUCUGGCAGAGGAAAUUUCAAGGCAGUCAAACAUUCAGACUAUUGCUUGGGUACUUUUAGGGACUUUUAGCUAGAUCUACAUUAAGAACCAAGAGCAAAUGGUCCAGCAGAAUGAUUUUAAACAUUUUGAGUUUUGUCAGAAAGGCAGAGCCUGUAAUGAUGGGGCCUACAGAGAUGGAGCAGAGGAGAGUUUGGUUGCUAAAAAGAAGCCAAGUACUUUAGCAUAAGACAACAGAAAAAUUCCUUGAGGAAAUAUGAGAAACCAGUAAGUGCUCCCACUCCAGCUGGUGACAGACCUUGGUAUCACCCACGUGGAGCUGGUUUUACAUGUACGUAAAGGCAAGAGUUGUGGGGUCAGGAAAAUUUUUACCCAGAUUUCAGAAAAAGGCCUGGGAAGCUAGGUCCUGUGCCCCUGGGAUGGCAGUGUGGGAAGCUACGGAGAGCCCCGGCUGUAGGUCUCAAUCUGCAAGGCAAUACAAUGCAAGCUAAAAAGAACAAAAGAAACACACAGAAGCAAGACUUAAAGAGAAAGCUGGGUCUUGGCUGAUCCAAGCUGCUCUGGGCAACAGAGACAAAAGGCACCAAAGAUAUUCAGUAUUUAUUCAUUGCAAGUGUGAGAAGGAGAGUAGGGUAUGCUUCGACACCUGGUGAUAGGAUGCAAAGCAUCUGGGAUAGUGCAUAUCACAGGCAGGGCUAUAAAAGAGAGGCACUGCUUACCUUCCUGGAAAGAACAAACAAGGACUAGGACUGGGUAAUAAUUAACCAGCAACCCAUCGGGUCAGUAAGAAAAGCCAUAAUUCAGCAAAAAAAAGAAUUUAAUUGGGGUCAAGCUGACCUCAGAUGGAAGUUAACUCAGCAGAGCCCUGCCACUUCACAGACCAGGUCUUAGGUCUCCAUGGCAGCCACUGGUGGAGGAACUAUGCUUGCCCAACUCUGCCAUCUGACAUGCUCAUGUGAGUCACGUAAGGCUUCAGUGGGACUCCUAAUGCAAUACAGCCAGAUUAUGGGAAAGCAAGAAGCUUGUGCCACUUAUAGCCUGCCAGUAUACUGGCCAGGGAUAUCUACUACCUGAAGCUAUGAGUGUGAAGCCAAUAGUGCAGCAGAGACACCAGAAAGCUGGAGAAUCCAGGAACAUGGAACAUCUGAGAAAAUGCACAAGGAGUGAGAAAAGCCACAGAAGAGAGAAACUGUGAGGCUACAACCACCAGCAGCGCUAUAGGAAUAGGACCACUCAAGCCCUUUGGAGUUCACAUUUCACUACAGAUUGCCCAAUAUUCUGGACAUGGAAUUACGGGAUUUAAUGUUUUCACUGCUGUAUUUAGGUCUUUCUUUAGUCUCUUUCCUUUCUAUCCCUUAUUUUUCCUUUUUGGGAUGGAAAUGUUUACCCUGUGCCUUUGUAUCUCAGAAUGUUUAACUUUUUUGUUACAGAGGCUCACAUCUAAGAGUUUGUUUUAAAUAGUAGAGGAGACUUUGGACUUGGACUUUUCAGCAAUGCUGAAACUGUUAGGACUUUGGCAACUCUUAGAGACAGACCGAGUAUGUCUUGCAUAAAGGGAUGUGCAUAAGUCAUUGUGGGGCCAGAGGCAGAAUGGUAUGGCUUGUUAUCUAGACGUCUGGUUAAAGUCUCAUGUACUCAUAUGUGGAGCUUUUUAGAGAAUAUUGUAACAUAGGGACAUGAUUAUCACCAGUAGAUUAGUCUACUGAUGAGUUUAUAGCUAAAGGUAGGAGGUUAAAUCUGGUUGGAGGAGGUGGAUCAGUAGGUGUGUGGUGUGGAAGGGUCUAUCUCCUCCCCUCCUCCCUUGGUCCCUCUCUCUUGUUCCUGCAACCAUGCUAUUUGCUGUUUAUCUUCUGCCAUGCUGCCCUAUCUUGAAGCUAGAUGACUAUGGGCUGAAACCUCUACAAACUCUACUCUUCAAAGGAUUAAUAUCUAGGAUAUAUAAAGAACUCAAAAAUAUUAGACUCCCUAAAGUAAAAGACUCAAUCAAAAAUGCCAUAUGAAGUGAGUAGACACUUUUCAGAUGAUGUACAGCCAAUAAAUACAUG
rnacentral:lncRNA from 1 species